GGAGAAAUGAGUGGCGUUUUUAAUGAACUGCAGCGAUUUCACCUUUUAUUAAAACUCUCAUCACAUACAUACACUGUAAUGGCAUGCUAGUGUACAGCACAUAAAGAUGAACCCAGAUGCAGCGCAACCACUGCUGGUGAACUUUAGGUGACCCAGGAGAUGUCUCUUUUUCAGAAUACUCAUUUAUUGCUGUUCUGAUCACUAAUGGCCAAUCAGAUGAUCCAGUGGACAGUCCAGCUAAAGCAGUAUCAGACAGUGGAAUUUCCCUGUUUGCUGUGGGUGAGUUGAAAACUUGGUGUUCUUCAUGUCAGAAGUGUUUGUGUUGUAGUCUAAACGGGCAUGACACGUCUGUGUGCACUUCUUCAUGUUUUGACGUGUGGUUCAGAGUAACUAUAGUGAAUAGUACAACGCAGCAAGACAUAGAAUGUGUAUCAGAGCCGAUCCUCCCUAUACACAAAAUACGCAAGCUGCAUAUGGCCCCUGAAACACCAGGGGGCCCCCUUGCUUUAAAAGAUUAUUUAAUUUUAGUUUUGUUUUUGAAUUUGGCCAGCAGUUAUGAAAACGAUCAUUUGAAAAAUUAUAAUUUCUUUUAAUGCGGUGUGCUGUCGCCCUUUCUACGUAAAAAUCAGUUAAAUCAUGUAAUGUGAAUGUCAUACAGUCUUGCUCGGGACUAAAAAAACGAGUUGAAAGAGUUCCGAGCCACAGAAGAGACACUGCUUCUUAAGCGCUUUCCGCGAGCGCGAUUCGAGACGGAGUGAAACAUGGACAAAUGCGUUUCAUUCAUUCGUUCAUAACCACUCAUAACCCACUCCAUGUUUGCGUAGGGCCCCCUGAAGUAUAGGAUCGGCUCUGAUGUGUAUGUUUGUGUGUGUCAGCCUUGUUUCCUUUCUCGCGCUCUUUCUGUUUUGACGCCCAGAGUGCUGAAAUAAUUAUGGUUCAUUACCCGGUGGCUGACUAAUUGCUGUAGUUUUUCAUCAAACCCAUUCCUCCUGGCCCCCUUUANACACACACACACACACACACACACACACACACACACACACACACACACUGACACUGUGUCCUGCCUUUCUAAUCAGUUUUCCCAGAGAGACGUGAAUAUAUCUGGCCGUUUGACACAUCUGUGAGACACAUGUACAGCAGGGCGACAUGCC
ensembl:lncRNA